CACGGGGGGCGCAAGCGUUAUUCGGAAUUAUUGGGCGUAAAGGGCGCGCAGGCGGUCUUGUCCGUCAGGUGUGAAAGCUCGGGGCUCAACCCCGGAAGUGCACUUGAAACAGCAAGACUUGAAUACGGGAGAGGAAAGCGGAAUUCCUGGUGUAGAGGUGAAAUUCGUAGAUAUCAGGAGGAACACCGAUGGCGAAGGCAGCUUUCUGGACCGAUAUUGACGCUGAGGCGCGAAGGCGUGGGUAGCAAACGGG
rnacentral:misc_RNA from 1 species